GAUGAAGAACGUAGCAAAAUGCGAUAAGUAAUGUGAAUUGCAGAAUUCAGUGAAUCAUCGAAUCUUUGAACGCACAUUGCGCCCGCCAGUAUUCUGGCGGGCAUGCCUGUUCGAGCGUCAUUUCAACCCUCAAGCACAGCUUGGUGUUGGGACUCGCGUUAAUUCGCGUUCCUCAAAUUGAUUGGCGGUCACGUCGAGCUUCCAUAGCGUAGUAGUAAAACCCUCGUUACUGGUAAUCGUCGCGGCCACGCCGUUAAACCCCAACUUCUGAAUGUUGACCUCGGAUCAGGUAGGAAUACCCGCUGAAUUUAAGCAUAUCAAUAAGCGGAGGA
rnacentral:misc_RNA from 1 species